rnacentral:rRNA from 1 species
CCGGGGGUAGACCAACAGGGAUUGCCCCAGUAACGGCGAGUGAAGCGGCAACAGCUCAAAUUUGAAAUCUGGUCCCCAGGGCCCGAGUUGUAAUUUGUAGAGGAUGCUUUUGGCGCGGCGCCUUCCGAGUUCCCUGGAACGGGACGCCAUAGAGGGUGAGAGCCCCGUCUGGUCGGAUGCCUAGCCUCUGUAAAGCUCCUUCGACGAGUCGAGUAGUUUGGGAAUGCUGCUCAAAAUGGGAGGUAUAUGUCUUCUAAAGCUAAAUAUUGGCCAGAGACCGAUAGCGCACAAGUAGAGUGAUCGAAAGAUGAAAAGCACUUUGAAAAGAGGGUUAAAAAGUACGUGAAAUUGUUGAAAGGGAAGCGCCUAUGACCAGACUUGGGCCCGGUGAAUCAUCCAGCGUUCUCGCUGGUGCACUUUGCCGGGCACAGGCCAGCAUCAGUUUGGCGCGGGGGAUAAAGGCUUUGGGAAUGUGGCUCCCCCGGGAGUGUUAUAGCCCACUGCGCAAUACCCUGCGCCGGACUGAGGUACGCGCAUCGCAAGGAUGCUGGCGUAAUGGUCAUCAGCGACCCGUCUUGAAACACGGACCAAGGAGUCGUCUUCGUAUGCGAGUGUUCGGGUGUCAAACCCCUACGCGUAAUGAAAGUGAACGCAGGUGAGAGCUUCGGCGCAUCAUCGACCGAUCCUGAUGUUCUCGGAUGGAUUUGAGUAAGAGCAUACGGGGCCGGACCCGAAAGAAGGUGAACUAUGCCUGUAUAGGGUGAAGCCAGAGGAAACUCUGGUGGAGGCUCGCAGCGGUUCUGACGUGCGAAUCGAUCGUCAAAUAUGGGCAUGGGGGCGAAAGACUAAUCGAACCUUCUAGUAGCUGGUUCCGCGUGU